AUGUGCCUCCGCGAGCAUGGAACCGUCGACGUCGCCACCGGCCUCGAAAUCCUGCCUCUAGAUCCUCCUCCUCCAGCCCUCCCCAACUUUGGGUCAUGGCUUGCCAGCAAUGGGCACAUCGGGGUUGUGGUGGUGACGACUGACGAGCGCGCCAGCAAGAGGGCCAAGCCAUGGCUGGAAUCCCACCGCGACGUUUGUCUCCAUGAUGACUGUAGUUUAUUCAGUAGGCUGAUGCAUUCUGCUCAAAAGGAGAAGAUGGUGAUUUUUUUUGCAAUAGUCAAGCACCAAGUCGUUGUCACUACAGAUUUGUGGACAGUGGGCUAUCAAAAGAGAGGUUACAUGGCUGUUACCGCGCACUACAUAGAUGAUUCUUGGAACCCAAAGAGCUUUCUUAUGAGGGUUGCUUAUGUGCCCUGCCCACAUUCGGCUGAGGUUAUAUGUGAAGCCUGGUAUGAGUGUCUUAUUGAGUGGCACCUUGAGAGGAAGAUAUCCACCGUCACUUUGGACAACUGCACAUCAAGUGACAAGGCUAUGGGAAUAUUGCCAGAUAAGUUGGAUACAAGCUCUCUCAUGUUGGAUGGUCAAUUACUGCAUAUGCGUUGUGCCGCUCACAUAUUAAACUUAAUUGUAAAAGAUGGAAUGAGUGUCUUAGAGAAAGGUAUAGAGAGGCUGCGAGACAGUGUUGCAUUUUGGUCAGCCACACCUAAAAGGCAUGAGAAGUUUGAAAAGGCACAUGAAAAGAAGUUUAAGUGGUGCCCAACCAAAGAUGAUUGGAAGUUUGCAAAACAAAUAUGUGAUAGGUUGAAGCUCUUCUUUGAUAUCACUGAGUCAUUCUCGGGCACGAAGAAAUGGGGUAAGAGUGACAUUGAGCUUAUAGAAAAAAUGUCCGAGGAAAUGAAGGAUAAGUUUGAGAAGUAUUGGAAAGAUAUCCAUGGUCUUAUGUCUGUUGCAACAAUUCUUGAUCCAAGAGUGUUCUCGAGGAUGAAGAAGAGGAGAUGGAUGAGUCUACUUCAAUCAUCACCCAAGAGUGAAGAUAUUGCUGUUGUUUGUGCUUGGUUGGAACUUGGAAGCUGA
rnacentral:rRNA from 1 species